GACGAACGCUGACGGCGUGCUUAACACAUGCAAGUCGAACGGUGAAGCGCCUUCCUUUUUGGUGGAUGUGGAUUAGUGGCGAACGGGUGAGUAACACGUGAGUAACCUGCCCCCUUCUUCUGGAUAACCGCAUGAAAGUGUGGCUAAUACGGGAUAUUCUGGGUCUGUCGCAUGAUGGGUCUGGGAAAGAUAUUGUUUCGGUGGGGGAUGGGCUCGCGGCCUAUCAGCUUGUUGGUGGGGUGAUGGCCUACCAAGGCGGUGACGGGUAGCCGGCCUGAGAGGGUGGACGGUCACACUGGGACUGAGACACGGCCCAGACUCCUACGGGAGGCAGCAGUGGGGAAUAUUGCACAAUGGGCGCAAGCCUGAUGCAGCGACGCCGCGUGAGGGAUGGAGGCCUUCGGGUUGUGAACCUCUUUCGCCAGUGAAGCAGGCCUGCCUCGUUUGUGGGUGGGUUGACGGUAGCUGGAGAAGAAGCGCCGGCUAACUACGUG
rnacentral:rRNA from 1 species